rnacentral:tRNA from 1 species
UUUUAAUAAUUUAAAUUAAAAUAUUGAUUUUGUAAAUCAAAAAUAAAGUACUUUUUAAAACAU